GACGAACGCUGGCGGCGUGCCUAACACAUGCAAGUCGAGCGAAUGAAGUUCCUUCGGGAACGGAUUUAGCGGCGGACGGGUGAGUAACACGUGGGCAACCUGCCUCAUAGAGGGGAAUAGCCUUCCGAAAGGGAGAUUAAUACCGCAUAAGAUUGUAGUACCGCAUGGUACAGCAAUUAAAGGAGCAAUCCGCUAUGAGAUGGGCCCGCGGCGCAUUAGCUAGUUGGUGAGGUAACGGCUCACCAAGGCGACGAUGCGUAGCCGACCUGAGAGGGUGACCGGCCACAUUGGGCCUGAGCCGCGGCGCAUACUCCUACGGGAGGCCGCAGUGGGGAAUCUUGCACAAUGGGGUAACCCUUGAUGCAGCAACGCCGCGUGAGUGAUGACGGCCUUCGGGUUGUAAAGCUCUGUCUUCAGGGACGAUAAUGACGGUACCUGAGGAGGAAGCCACGGCUAACUACGUGCCAGCCGCCGCGGUAACAC
rnacentral:rRNA from 1 species